CCUAUAAUGCAAGUCGAGCGCGCCCUUCGGGGUGAGCGGCGGACGGGUGAGUAAAGUUGGGGAUAUGCCCUUCUCUAAGGAAUAGCCUCUGGAAAUGAGAGUAAUACCUUAUACGCCCUUUGGGGGAAAGAUUUAUCGGAGAAGGAUUAGCCCGCGUUAGAUUAGGUAGUUGGUGGGGUAAUGGCCUACCAAGCCUACGAUCUAUAGCUGGUUUGAGAGGAUGAUCAGCCACACUGGGACUGAGACACGGCCCAGACUCCUACGGGAGGCAGCAGUAGGGAAUCUUAGACAAUGGGGGCAACCCUGAUCUAGCCAUGCCGCGUGUGUGAUGAAGGCCCUAGGGUCGUAAAGCACUUUCGCCAGAGAUGAUAAUGACAGUAUCUGGUAAAGAAACCCCGGCUAACUCCGUGCCAGCAGCCGCGGUAAUACGGAGGGGGUUAGCGUUGUUCGGAAUUACUGGGCGUAAAGCGCACGUAGGCGGAUUAGUAAGUUAGAGGUGAAAUCCCAGGGCUCAACCCUGGAACUGCCUUUAAUACUGCUAGUCUUGAGUUCGAGAGAGGUAAGUGGAAUUCCGAGUGUAGAGGUGAAAUUCGUAG
rnacentral:rRNA from 1 species